rnacentral:rRNA from 1 species
UACGUAGGGUGCAAGCGUUGUCCGGAAUUAUUGGGCGUAAAGAGCUCGUAGGCGGUUUGUCGCGUCGAAUGUGAAAACCCGGGGCUCAACCCCGGGCCUGCAUUCGACACGGGCAGACUAGAGGCAUGCAGGGGAGAACGGAAUUCCUGGUGUAGCGGUGAAAUGCGCAGAUAUCAGGAGGAACACCGGUGGCGAAGGCGGUUCUCUGGGCAUGUCCUGACGCUGAGGAGCGAAAGUGUGGGGAGCGAACAGG